rnacentral:rRNA from 1 species
GAUGAACGCUGGCGGCGUGCCUAAUACAUGCAAGUCGAGCGGACCAAAGAGAGCUUGCUCUCUGAGGUUAGCGGCGGACGGGUGAGUAACACGUGGGUAACCUGCCUGUAAGACGGGGAUAACUUCGGGAAACCGAAGCUAAUACCGGAUGAUAAAGAGAAACGCCUGUUUCUUUUUUGAAAGUCGGCCUUGUGCUGACGCUUACAGAUGGGCCCGCGGCGCAUUAGCUAGUUGGUGAGGUAACGGCUCACCAAGGCGACGAUGCGUAGCCGACCUGGGAGGGUGAUCGGCCACACUUGGACUGAGACACGGCCCAGACUCCUACGGGAGGCAGCAGUAGGGAAUCUUCGGCAAUGGACGAAAGUCUGACCGAGCAACGCCGCGUGAGCGAUGAAGGCCUUCGGGUCGUAAAGCUCUGCUGUCAGAGAAGAACAAGUACCGGAGUAACUGCCGGUACCUUGACGGUACCUGACCAGAAAGCCACGGCUAACUACGUGCCAGCAGCAGCCGUAA